rnacentral:rRNA from 1 species
GAUGAACGCUGGCGGCGUGCCUAAUACAUGCAAGUCGAGCGAACGGACGAGAAGCUUGCUUCUCUGAUGUUAGCGGCGGACGGGUGAGUAACACGUGGAUAACCUACCUAUAAGACUGGGAUAACUUCGGGAAACCGGAGCUAAUACCGGAUAAUAUUUUGAACCGCAUGGUUCAAAAGUGAAAGACGGUCUUGCUGUCACUUAUAGAUGGAUCCGCGCUGCAUUAGCUAGUUGGUAAGGUAACGGCUUACAAAGGCAACGAUGCUUAGCCGACCUGGGAGGUGGAUCGGCCACACUGGAACUGAGACACGGUCCAGCCCCCUACGGGAGGCAGCAGUAGGGAAUCUUCCGCAAUGGGCGAAAGCCUGACGGAGCAACGCCGCGUGAGUGAUGAAGGUCUUCGGAUCGUAAAACUCUGUUAUUAGGGAAGAACAUAUGUGUAAGUAACUGUGCACAUCUUGACGGUACCUAAUCAGAAAGCCACGGCUAACUACGUG